GAACUUUUUUAUUAUUAAUUUUAUUUUUUUUAUUUUAUGAGAGAAUUAUAUUUAUUUUAUUAAUAUUUUUUGAAAUAAUAUUUAUUUAUUAUAGUUUAUAGUACUGUGAAGGAAUUAAUUUUAGUAUAAAAAAGAAGAAUUUGUUUUUUGUACCUUGUGUGUCAGGGUUAAUUAAUUUAAAAUUAAAUUUUUAGUUUUCCCGAAUUUAGAAGAGCUAUAAAUUUAUAAAUUUUAUUGUUAAAUAAAUAUUUAUAAUUUUUUUAUUGAAAUGAAAUGUUAUUCGUUUCUAAUAUAUCUGGUUUCUUAGGAAAUAAAUUCAAUUUUAUUAAAUUAUAAUAAAUUUCUGUUUUUUAGUUUUUAUUUUUUUUAUUUUAUAAUUAAGGGGAUAAGCUUUUGAUUAUAUGUUAAAAAUAAUUUUAUAUUAAUUUUUUGUAGGAUUAGAAUCUUUCAUCAUUAAAAGUAUGUUAUAAUUUAUUUUUUUAUGUUUAUAUUUUUAUUUUUUUUAAUUUUUUACUAAGAUUUAAUUUUUAAUUUAAAAUUUUUAGUAAUAAUGAUUGAAUUAGUAUAUUUGAUUGUUUAAUUAAGAAUUUUUUUAGGUUAAUUUAAGGAAUUCGGCAAAAUUAAAUUUUCACCUGUUUAUUAAAAACAUGUCUUUUUGAUUUUUUUUUAAAGUCUGACCUGCCCAAUGAUUAUAAAUUAAAUGGCCGCAGUAUUUUGACUGUGCAAAGGUAGCAUAAUCAUUAGUUUUUUAAUUGAAAGCUGGAAUGAAUGGUUUGAUGAGAAAUUAGCUGUCUCAAUUUAAUUUUAUAUAAUUUUAUUUUUGAGUUAGAAAGCUCAAAUUUUUGAUAAAGACGAGAAGACCCUUUAGAGUUUAACUUACAAUACUAUUUUUAAUUAUGUUUUAUUUUUAUAUUUUUGUGAGUUUUGUUGGGGUGAUAAAUAAAUUUAAUAAACUUUAUUUUAUUUUUACAUUAAUUUAUGAUUGUUUGAUCCUUUGUUUUGGAUUAUAAGAAUAAAUUACCUAAGGGAUAACAGCGUAAUUUUUUCUGAAAGUUCUAAUUGAAGAAAAAGUUUGCGACCUCGAUGUUGGAUUAAAAUUUAUUUUUGGUGCAGUAGCUGAAUAAUUGGGUCUGUUCGACCUUUAAAAUUUUACAUGAUCUGAGUUUAAACCGGUGUGAGCCAGGUUGGUUUCUAUCUUGUUUGAAUUUUAAUAUUUUAGUACGAAAGGACCAUUUAUUAAAAUAAUAUUUUGUUUUUGAAUCUUAU
rnacentral:rRNA from 1 species